UACGGAGGAUCCGAGCGUUAUCCGGAUUUAUUGGGUUUAAAGGGUGCGUAGGUGGAUUGGUAAGUCAGUGGUGAAAGUUUGCAGCUUAACUGUAAAAUUGCCGUUGAAACUGCCGGUCUUGAGUGCAAAUGAGGUAGGCGGAAUGCGUCGUGUAGCGGUGAAAUGCUUAGAUAUUACGCAGAACUCCGAUUGCGAAGGCAGCUUACUGGGAUGCAACUGACGCUGAGGCACGAAAGCGUGGGGAUCGAACAGGAUUAGAUACCCGGGUA
rnacentral:rRNA from 1 species